rnacentral:rRNA from 1 species
AUUGAACGCUGGCGGCAGGCCUAACACAUGCAAGUCGAACGGUAACAGGAAGCAGCUUGCUGCUUUGCUGACGAGUGGCGGACGGGUGAGUAAUGUCUGGGAAACUGCCCGAUGGAGGGGGAUAACUACUGGAAACGGUAGCUAAUACCGCAUAACGUCGCAAGACCAAAGAGGGGGACCUUAGGGCCUCUUGCCAUCGGAUGUGCCCUGAUGGGAUUAGCUAGUAGGUGGGGUAACGGCUCACCUAGGCGACGAUCCCUAGCUGGUCUGAGAGGAUGACCAGCCACACUGGAACUGAGACACGGUCCAGACUCCUACGGGAGGCAGCAGUGGGGAAUAUUGCACAAUGGGCGCAAGCCUGAUGCAGCCAUGCCGCGUGUAUGAAGAAGGCCUUCGGGUUGUAAAGUACUUUCAGCGGGGAGGAAGGGAGUAAAGUUAAUACCUUUGCUCAUUGACGUUACCCGCAGAAGAAGCACCGGCUAACUCCGUG